rnacentral:rRNA from 1 species
AACGUAGGAGGCGAACGUUAUCCGGAAUUACUGGGCGUAAAGCGCACGCAGGCGGCUUUGUAAGUCCGACGUGAAAGCUCCUGGCUUAACUGGGAGAGGCCGUUGGAUACUGCGAAGCUUGAGGUUGGGAGAGGAAAGCGGAAUUCCCGGUGUAGUGGUGGAAUGCGUAGAUAUCGGGAGGAACUCCAGUGGCGAAAGCGGCUUUCUGGCCUACACCUGACGCUGAGGUGCGAAAGCGUGGGGAGCAAACAGG